UACAGAGGUCUCAAGCGUUGUUCGGAUUCAUUGGGCGUAAAGGGUGCGUAGGCGGCGAGGUAAGUCGGGUGUGAAAUCUCGGAGCUUAACUCCGAAACUGCAUUCGAUACUGCCGUGCUUGAGGACUGGAGAGGAGACUGGAAUUUACGGUGUAGCGGUGAAAUGCGUAGAUAUCGUAAGGAAGACCAGUGGCGAAGGCGGGUCUCUGGACAGUUCCUGACGCUGAGGCGCGAAGGCCAGGGGAGCAAACGGG
rnacentral:rRNA from 1 species